AGGUAUUGGAGUUUCUGUACACAACAUCGAUGCCACUAGUCUUAGCUUUGAAGGAUCUUUCUCUGGAUGGAACACUGGCUCCUGAAAUUUGUAAUUUUUUGUACACGAAGUUGAUAUAGUGUCACUGGGUAGGAGAAAGUUCAGCACAGAUUUUCAGACUGCUAAAGGCGUUGAUGUUCUUUGGAUUUAUAGUGACGCAUUGAUUGAUGAAUGGAGAAUACACAAGAAGCAAGUUAUGGCUUCAUGACCUUGCUGGAAGUGAGAGAUUAGCCAAGCCAGACGUUUAAGGAGAUCCGCUGAAAGAAACUCAAAUUAUUAACAGAUCCUUAUCUGCACUGGGAGGUGUGAUAGCAGCGCUGGCGACCAAAAUCCCACAUAUUCCUUUCAGGAAUUCAAAGCUCACUCACUUGCUCCAAGAUUCUCUAGGGUGACAAUUGCUUUUCAAUAAAGCAACAACUUGUAACAUACAGAAGCAGCUGUAAACUGGAGAAUGUGGACCAAGUUGAAGAAAAUCU